rnacentral:rRNA from 1 species
UACGAAGGGGGCGAGCGUUGUUCGGAUUUACUGGGCGUAAAGGGCGCGUAGGCGGCCUGUUAAGUCGAACGUGAAAUCCCCGGGCUCAACCCGGGAACUGCGUCCGAUACUGGCAGGCUUGAAUCCGGGAGAGGGAUGCGGAAUUCCAGGUGUAGCGGUGAAAUGCGUAGAUAUCUGGAGGAACACCGGUGGCGAAGGCGGCAUCCUGGACCGGCAUUGACGCUGAGGCGCGAAAGCCAGGGGAGCAAACGGG